AAGAAAACCCAAAUUAAAAUUUUGAUAUGACAUACAGGUUGUGUUGUAGUUUUAGAAUAAUGUAGCCUCAAAAAAAUGUGUGUGAAGAGCAAGCAGAGAAAAGGGACAGAGGAGUUGAAAGCUUUCUAAUAACAAGUGAACAUGGUGUUAAAAAGAGAGAGAGAGAGAGAGAGAGAGAGAGAGAGAGAGAUUGUUGAGCUUCUGUUAUUAGCUGAAGUAGCUGCAAAUUUGUGGGUUAAACACAGAAAAUGAUGAAGAAGAUGAAGAACAAAGAACAAAGAAGAAGAAGAGGAAUCUGCAAAUGGGGGUGUGUUGGGG
rnacentral:lncRNA from 1 species